rnacentral:tRNA from 1 species
ACCUUCGUGGUGUAGUGGUCAGCACGCUCGACGCGUAACUGAGAGGUCCGUGGUUCGAUUCCCGGGGAAGGCG